CCCACUCCGCCAUCAUUUGUCUGUGAGUCCCGGAUGCUGUGGACACCCCCGGCGCUGCUCCUCAGAUCCUGGGUUUGGAUCGAAUGUCCCUGAAGCUAAUAAGUAGAGAGUUUUGGGAAGGAGAAUCUAGAGCCAAGGCACAACAGUUCUCUCCUUAUCCACUACAUUCCCUUCUCUCCCAGCUAAACUGCCAGAGUGCUUUAUGGGUUUACAAGAGCUACAAAAGAUGAAGUGUUUGCAGAUGGUCUGCCAGCCACUGGAGUGCCUUGACACAAGAAGGGUCACCAGCAGAGAUAAAGAAAGGAGGAGGAGGUCUCUCCCCACAGUGCCUAUUUCAGAGUGACGGAAGAGGCUCUGUGAUUGUAUUGGGGGACCUGAUCAUGCCUCAGCAUUGGACAGAUCAUUUGGGCAGCAAAUCAACAACGUAACCAUUAUUCUAUCAGAAGGGGAGAAGAAAUCUAGGGUAAUUA